GACAGAGGGUGCAAGCGUUGUUCGGAAUUACUGGGCGUAAAGCGCGUGUAGGCGGCCCUGCAAGUCGGAUGUGAAAUCCCACGGCUCAACCGUGGAAGUGCAUUCGAAACUGCAGGGCUAGAGUCCUGGAGAGGAAGGUGGAAUGCUUGGUGUAGAGGUGAAAUUCGUAGAUAUCAAGCGGAACACCGGUGGCGAAGGCGGCCUUCUGGACAGUGACUGACGCUGAGACGCGAAAGCGUGGGGAGCGAACAGG
rnacentral:rRNA from 1 species